rnacentral:lncRNA from 1 species
UUCAAAUGCCAUCCUUCGGUGAAGGACUGGUGGUACUUCUCCCCCCAGUUCGGUAAGAAGGGGUUGCUGAAAGGCGCCCCUUCUUCGAUCCACAAUUGGAAGGGAAAAUUCCUCUUCGUCCACUGUCCGACCCUGAGACUGGGCCUGCCCCCUUGGGGCUCUCUGAGGGAUUCUGUCCGUCGGGCUCCCAGCCUGGGGGAGGACGACCUCCAGGCCGCCCAGAANN